GUGGGAAAUUGACUCCAGAAUCCCCUUCAAUACCAAAAUUCACCCACCUUCAAGUUCUGCAGCUGGCCUAUGGAACUGAAAUAUACAGAAAGGCAGCCACUUGUAUCUAUCAUCUGCAUCUCGUUCUUGGUCCAUGAGAAUAAGCAGCCCAAACCUUGGUUUGGUCCGGGAAUAAAUUUGGUGAGCCAGCCAGCUGCUCCAUUCAGUGGCCAGAGGCUUGCAAUGAGACAGUCUUCAAGAGGAUCCCAGGAGCUGCCAGAGUACUGAGAUGGAGUAAUGAUUAAAGAAGCUUUUGUGAAGAGGAG
rnacentral:lncRNA from 13 species